CAAAGGUGGUACUGUUAUGAGUUGUUUCUCAAUGCUGAGAACUCCCGUGUUAGCCUGGGCCUGGAUUUCUCCAGAGUAGCAGUUUAUUUUUCCCUCUGACCACAGUAACUCUGGGCUCCAGAAGGAGAUAUCUGGGAUUGUUGCAUCUCCUUAGCACCCACCUACUCUCGCUCACAUCAGGAUGCUCUGCAGCAGUAACCACAUCCUGUAUCUUGAUGUGAUGGAGGAAUCUGAUCACCAAGGGACCAGUGGAGUCACACCAGGUCAAGUUCUUUACCUGCACGGAGUUAAAGCGGAAUCCAGUGAAUAAUAAGGGCAGCAACUGCUGGAAGGAAACAAGACCAGAAGAGGACCUGUAGAGAUCUG